UGGGGAAUAUUGCACAAUGGGCGCAAGCCUGAUGCAGCAACGCCGCGUGAACGAUGAAGGUCUUCGGAUCGUAAAGUUCUGUUGCAGGGGAAGAUAAUGACGGUACCCGGUGAGGAAGCCCCGGCUAACUACGUGCCAGCAGCCGCGGUAAUACGUAGGGGGCUAGCGUUGUCCGGAAUUAUUGGGCGUAAAGCGCGCGCAGGUGGUUUAGAAAGUCUGAUGUGAAAGCCCACGGCUCAACCGUGGAGGGUCAUUGGAAACUAAUAAACUUGAGUGCAGGAGAGAAAGGUGGAAUUCCUAGUGUAGCGGUGAAAUGCGUAGAGAUUAGGAGGAACACCGGUGGCGAAAGCGGCUUUUUGGCCUGCAACUGACACUGAGGAGCGACAGCGUGGGGAGCAAACAGG
rnacentral:rRNA from 1 species